rnacentral:sRNA from 1 species
AAAAAAAAUGAAUCAAACCGGAUUUAACAUAUAACAAAAAAUUUUGAAAUUUUAAAAACAAAUAUGUCAAAAAGAUUCUGUUAUUACUAAAAAGGUUAUUCUAGUCAUAAACAAAUCGGCCAGAACAUUGACAUGAGUAAAUCUGUUAUGCUUUGACACUGAAAAAGAAAACUGUUAUUACUAGGGGGGUUAUUGAAGGUAGGAUUUUAAUUGAAUAUGAAAGAAUUUAG